rnacentral:rRNA from 1 species
CCUACGGGUGGCAGCAGUGAGGAAUAUUGGUCAAUGGACGAGAGUCUGAACCAGCCAAGUAGCGUGAAGGAUGACUGCCCUAUGGGUUGUAAACUUCUUUUAUAUGGGAAUAAAACGUUCCACGUGUGGGAUUUUGUAUGUACCAUAUGAAUAAGGAUCGGCUAACUCCGUGCCAGCAGCCGCGGUAAUACGGAGGAUCCGAGCGUUAUCCGGAUUUAUUGGGUUUACAGGGAGCGUAGGUGGAUUGUUAAGUCAGUUGUGAAAGUUUGCGGCUCAACCGUAAAAUUGCAGUUGAAACUGGCAGUCUUGAGUACAGUAGAGGUGGGCGGAAUUCGUGGUGUAGCGGUGAAAUGCUUAGAUAUCACGAAGAACUCCGAUUGCGAAGGCAGUUCACUGGACUGCAACUGACACUGAGGCUCGAAAGUGUGGGUAUCAAACAGGAUUAGAUACCCCAGUAGUC